ACCAGGGUGGCCGAGUGGUUAAGGCGUUGUACUUAAGAUCCAAUGGAUAUAUAUAUAUAUAUGCGCGUGGGUUCGAACCCCACUUCUGGUA